GUAAGCAACCUCCACUUCCAACAAAAGGUUGUGAGUUCGAGUCUCCCAAGAGCAAGGUGAGAAGUUUUUGAAGGGAAGGAUACCGGGGUUUCUAUUUGGAAACAGCCUCUUUAUCCCAGCAUGGAAUAUUAUAUGAGAGGAAGCAACAUUAAGUGUUUUAGAGGCGAUAAUGUGAAGAAAAACGUCCACUCGAGAAUUACCCGAACACAAAGAAGCAUAAAUGGCCUGGGCAAGAAGUUUCUUUUUCAAUUAGUUAAAGAUUCAAUUUUAUGUGAUUUUUUCAGAACUUUUGCUAAUGGGCGAAAGUAUUUGUAUUGUUUUUAGGUAUUUUGGAGAAAGAUGUUGGAAGAAUUCAUCACCGGUAGUUUAGUAUAUAUUAUCUGUUUGUCUCUUCUUUUUCUUU